UGGGGAAUAUUGGACAACGGGCGAAAGCCUGAUCCAGCCAUGCCGCGUGUGUGAAGAAGGUCUUCGGAUUGUAAAGCACUUUAAGUUGGGAGGAAGGGCAGUAAGCGAAUACCUUGCUGUUUUGACGUUACCGACAGAAUAAGCACCGGCUAACUCUGUG
rnacentral:rRNA from 1 species